GGGAAGGGGAAGGUGCCUUUCCGCAUUUGGUGUAGUCCCGCAUUCUGCCAUAUGAUGGCGCCAGAGAACGCGCCUACCGGGAUAGGGAGGGGCAAGGAGGCGAGGAAGGAAAAAAAAGAGACAAGUGAAGAUUGACAUCCAUUAAGGCCAAUGGUAGCUCAAUCUUCUGUUCUCUGACUCCCAAGCUUCCCAUUCUCUUAGGAGGCUGCAUUUGUGGCGCUAAAAAAAGGGAUGGGCGUGGGAGAUUCCAGGACUUGUGCUCGCUGAAGAUACAACUGUUAGUCCAAGCUCCUGUAUCAGCAGUGCUUGCACCUCAUAGGUGAUGAUCAUGAGGGGGACAAGGAGCCUCUAGACUUAAGAGACAAGUUGCCAGCAUUCUCCAGAUGGAGUGUUUCCCUCCGCAGCACCCCCUGCUGGUCAGUUUGACAAGCAGGUGAACAGAAGUUCUCAAAUACACAAUAGUAGAUUCUAUCAAUCAAGUUUCAUAAAGAGUUCUGAUUCCCAGAGAUAGCAGAUUCUGUCAACCACAUUUCAUAAAGAGUUCUGAUUCUAAGAGAGCCAUACACCUGAAGGAGGGAUGGAAAGACUAGGAGAGCCUGGGAUCCUCAGAGAUGGAGAUCUGGAUGUGAAGAGAAAGAGAAAAACAAAAGUCAACAGACAGUACUGUGACCAAGUCAGUGAUGGUGAGAUCAGCAGCAUCUCUAGGACCCUUCUGAUUGACAUGAAGUCACCAUCAAGUAGGCAGAACUCACAGGACUUAUGGAGCAAGGAUGACUGACACAAACACAAAAAUCAUUCUGCCUGUUGAAUGAAUCAUAAAAUACUGUCUUUGAUCCAGGAGGCUUGUGUCAUCUGCCAGCAUUUAUGAAACUGUGCUCCAAGUAGGCUCCUGUAUCAGCAGUGCUUGCCCCUGAUAGAUGAUGAUCAUGGGGGGACCAGGAGCCUCUAGACUUAGAGAACUUUCCCCACCCUCCCUGUGGAGUGUUUCCCUCCCCAGCACCCCCUGCUGGUCAGUUUGACAAACAGAUGAACAGAAGUUCUCAAAUACACAGUAAGCAGAUAACCCCAACAUCACCAGAAAUAUCAACUUGUGAUGGCAUUUUGUCAAGUUGUCUUUGUUAUCGGCAUCAUCUGUUGCUUUCUGAGGGAAGUAUUUUGAGUUCUCCUACUGAGACUGUGGAUUUGCCUAUUUCUUUUUGUAUGUCAGCUUUUGCCAUAUGUAUUUUGUAGUUGUGUUGUGAGGAAGAUUCAUGACUUAUCUUGUGGGAGAAUUCUGUAUUUAGCAGAUUUUCGUCUUAAGUUCUGUUUUGCUUAGUAUUGAUGUUAUUACUUUGCUUUUUCAGUUUCAAAAUCAUUUAGUAUAUCUUUUUCCUUUCUUUUAGCCUUUGUGUUUUUAUUUCAGAUGUGCUUUCUUAUGUACUGACUGUGAUCCCCAAAUUCAUAUGUUGAAGUCCCAACUCCAAAUGUAUUUGGAGGUGGGCCUUUCAGAC
rnacentral:lncRNA from 1 species